rnacentral:rRNA from 1 species
GACGUAGGGCGCGAGCGUUGUCCGGAUUUAUUGGGCGUAAAGAGCUCGUAGGCGGCUUGUCGCGUCGACUGUGAAAACCCGCGGCUCAACCGCGGGCCUGCAGCCGAUACGGGCAGGCUAGAGUUCGGUAGGGGAGACUGGAAUUCCCGGUGUAGCGGUGAAAUGCGCAGAUAUCGGGAGGAACACCUAUGGCGAAGGCAGCUCGCUGGGACGUUACUGACGCUGAGACGCGAAAGCGUGGGGAGCAAACAGG